rnacentral:rRNA from 1 species
UCCAAUCUGCCCGUUACUCGGGGAUAGCCUUUCGAAAGAAAGAUUAAUACCCGGAUGGCUUCACACCGCCGCAUGGCGUUGUGAAUAAAGAUUCAUCGGUAACGGAUGAGGAUGCGUCCGAUUAGCUUGUUGGCGGGGUAACGGCCCACCAAGGCGACGAUCGGUAGGGGCUCUGAGAGGAGGAUCCCCCACAUUGGAACUGAGACACGGUCCAAACUCCUACGGGAGGCAGCAGGUGAGGAAUAUUGGUCAAUGGGCGAGAGCCUGAACCAGCCAAGUAGCGUGAGGGAUGACUGCCCUAUGGGUUGUAAACCUCUUUUGUUUGGGAAUAAAGCGGGCCACGCGUGGCCUUUUGUAUGUACCUUACGAAUAAGCAUCGGCUAAUUCCGUGCCAGCCGCCGC